rnacentral:rRNA from 1 species
GACAGAGGCCUCAAGCGUUAGGCGGAAUCACUGGGCUUAAAGCGUGUGUAGGCGGAUCGUUAAGUGCCUUGUGAAAUCCCACGGCUUAACUGUGGAACGGCUGGGCAUACUGGCGGUCUUGAGCCAUCUAGGGGCGACUGGAACAAACGGUGGAGCGGUGAAAUGCGUAGAUAUCGUAAGGAAGACCAGUGGCGAAGGCGGGUCUCUGGACAGUUCCUGACGCUGAGGCACGAAGGCCAGGGGAGCAAACGGG